GAAGUGUAACUGUAACAGAGGAACAGAAUCCAUCAGAGGUUGAUGGCGGCGUCGUUCAGGUGGAUAUUGCAACUGCAUAAGGACGUUCCGAAGGCUGCGCGGUUCUACUCCGAAGGGUUGGGGUUCAGCACUAAUGUGUGCACUCUCCGCUGGGCCGAACUUCAAUCUGGUCCUCUCCACCUCGCCCUCUUGCACUCACCCAACCCCAAGUACUUUCUUAUUUUUCUCAUGUCCUCCUUCUGUUUGAUCAUUUGUCACCUUCUAACCAUUUCAACAACCUCUACCACUUGGCCACAACUGACCAAGUCGUGCAGAUGCAUAAGGGCUACUCUUCGCUUCUAUCAUUUACUGUAACAGACAUCAACACUACAGUCACUAAAUUAAUGGCAUUAGGAGCUGAACUAGAUGGCCCUAUCAAAUAUGAGAUCCACUGAAAGGUUGCAGCUAUGCGGUGUCUUGAUGGUCAUAUGCCGGGCCUCUAUGAGCCGGUAUAACAGAAUCUCCACUAACAGCUUCAUCUAUUGCAAUCCAUAUCAUAGUUAAAUUGCAUUAGGGUGAUCACCAUGGCAACGUUUGAUAGAGAAGACAUGAGAAACAUCUCUUUUUUUAGGAUUCCCUUCAAUAAUAGAUAGUGUUUGUUC